rnacentral:rRNA from 1 species
AACCAGCACCUCGAGUGGUCAGGAGGUUUAUUGGGCCUAAAGCAUCCGUAGCCGGUUGCAUAAGUUUUCGGUUAAAUCUAUGCGCUUAACGUAUAGGCCGCCGAAAAUACUGUGCAGCUAGGNNNUGGGAGAGGUACACGGUACUCGAUAGGAAGGGGUAAAANCCUUUGAUCUAUUGAUNANNNNNNNUGGCGAAGGCNNNNUACCAGAACACGUUCGACGGUGAGGGAUGAAAGCUGGGGGAGCAAACCGGAUUAGAUACCCGGGUAGUCCCAGCUGUAAACGAUGCAGACUCGGUGAUGCAUUGGCUUGUGGCCAAUGCAGUGCCGCAGGGAAGCCGUUAAGUCUGCCGCCUGGGAAGUACGUACGCAA